AUUCCAGCUCCAAUAGCGUAUAUUAAAGUUGUUGCAGUUAAAAAGCUCGUAGUUGGAUUUGUGAUGUUGCCUGCAGUCCAAUUAGCUUUGGUGCUAGCGGGUGGUGUCAUCUUUGGGUGGAACCUGUAGGGCAUUAGCUUGUUUUGCAGGGGAUGCUCAUCGUUUACUGUGAAAAAAUUAGAGUGUUCAAAGCAGGCUUACGCCGAUGAAUAUACUAGCAUGGAAUAAUGAAAUAGGACUUUGGUACUAUUUUGUUGGUUUGCGCGCCAAAGUAAUGAUUAAUAGGGACAGUUGGGGGUAUUCGUAUUCCAUAGUCAGAGGUGAAAUUCUUGGAUUUUUGGAAGACGAACUACUGCGAAAGCAUUUACCAAGGAUGUU
rnacentral:rRNA from 1 species